GCCCCCCCGUCCUUGCACCGACGCGAAAGUCUCCGAAACGUCAUUUGACACCCCAACUUUGUGUUGUACACAUUGUUAUGAGUGUGUUCGUGUGAGCGGGGACGACGGGUUGAGCUGCGUUCGGUUUCUAUUUAUAGUUCAGUUCAAUUUGUUGCUCCAGUUUUUUUUUUGUUAAAAAUUAUGUUUGAUUCGCUUCUACAGAGUUUUUUUUAUUUGGACUUGUCUUUAUUACGAAAACGAUAGCCUGCUAGUAAAGUAUUACAACUUUUGUUCGGGUCAAGGAAAGAUGAAGCGAAAAGCGUUCGUGGAUUGCUCCAUAGUGAGUUCAGUUCGACUGAUACCGGCCGCUGGAUGCCGAUUCACCGUCUGCGAAGGAGUAACCAAGAACACAUCGGCAAAGGAAAUUAUUUAACCAGGUGGAAUAACAACUGGCCAAAAAGUAUCAUCCGGACAAGAACAAGGUCGAUCCGAAUCCGAGCCGAAAGUUUCAGGAAGUUUCCGAAGCGUACAAGGUGCUGAGCUCCGAUGCCACUGAUGACACGAAACGAAACGAUCUGUGGCCGACGAUGUGCCAAGGAAGUAUUCCCUGCCAUUAUUGCAACCACAAAGGUUCGUCUGUAAAAGUAAAUUAUAACCCCCAACCGGCCAUCUGAAAAAUCUAGCGGUGCCGUAUGGGCGAUGUCUUAAAAUCUACCUCUUUCACCUCCGCCUGGGCAAGAGUCUGGAUCUAUCGGAACCGCAAAGUGUUCGCUAAGAAUGCUUUCUUCUGUUGAUGCAUGGGUGAAGAAUGUAUGGCGAUAGGCGUAUUGUACGGCGCCUAAGGAUUUUACCGCCCUGAAGGAUUAUUACGAAGCAGUCGUCAUUCAAUCCGAGUGAUUUGCGAUUCUCUACAGGAUGACAACGCAGCCAUCUUCGAGUCAGUGUUGUAUCAACCCAGGCGCCGUUGGAAUAAUCCUUUCGUUUUCGUUCUAAAGUGUCAAGAUGCCUUGCGGACCGAAAAAGCAUUAAAAAGCGAUUAAACGCCUCCAGGGUUACCUUUGCCCCGCUUCCAUCCACUGGCCCACACAAACUGCGUGACUCGUUGCCACUUGUGAUUUUAUUGUGCAACCAUCGUGAAGUAUGUCUUGACUAACACCGAAGUUACCAAGAUCUGCAGCAUCACAUCUAGAUCGAUGGCAAGGUUUGCACUGACUUCAAUUACCCGACCGGAUUCAUGAAUGUCACCCAUCUUUGAUGUACGGCGUCUAGGAUCGUUUCACCGUUCACCGUAUUGCACCUGAUGAAGCCAAGUAUGUACAAGUUCCUGAAGAUGAAGUGCGUCUAGAUCGGUCCAAAGAAGGUGCCGUUUAUCUUGACCCACCAUCCGGAACCGAGCAUCCAGAACGAUUCGAUCCGCUAUCAUAUCGCCACCGGUGAUGAACAUGCUCAAACUCGAACCCGGCAAUCUGCACAUGACCAUCUAUCUGAGUCAUGUGGCUUAACAGUCAUUCAAUAAAUCAUGGUUACUCAACCUUCGUUUCGCGACCCCCCAACUGCUUGCAGGCACACUACUUCGAUUGGUCUACGAAAAGCGUGCAAACUGACUGGGGCGUCGCGAGAGCCAAUGUUGGGAAACGAUGCGAUAGAUGAUAUUUUACUGCGAAACUUUCCUUAAAUGAGCGGGUACAC